CCUACGUGAGGCAGCAGUGAGGAAUAUUGCACAAUGGGGGGAACCCUGAUGCAGCGACGCCGCGUGAGCGAGGAAGUAUUUCGGUAUGUAAAGCUCUAUCAGCAGGGACGAAAAAAGACGGUACCUGAUUAAGAAGCCCCGGCUAACUACGUGCCAGCAGCCGCGGUAAUACGUAGGGGGCAAGCGUUAUCCGGAUUUACUGGGUGUAAAGGGAGCGUAGACGGCAGCGCAAGUCUGAAGUGAAAUGCCGGGGCUUAACCCCGGAACUGCUUUGGAAACUGUGCAGCUAGAGUGCAGGAGAGGUAAGUGGAAGUCCUAGUGUAGCGGUGAAAUGCGUAGAUAUUAGGAGGAACACCAGUGGCGAAGGCGGCUUACUGGACUGUAACUGACGUUGAGGCUCGAAAGCGUGGGGAGCAAACAGGAUUAGAUACCCGAGUAGUC
rnacentral:rRNA from 1 species